UUUUGCUUCAUGGCGAGAUGUUGAAAGACGGUUUCGGCUGUCACUACAAGAUGGGCCCGCGGCGCAUUAGCUAGUUGGUAGGGUAAUGGCCUACCAAGGCGGACAUGACGUAACCGACCUGAGAGGGUGAUCGGCCACACUGGGACUGAGACACGGCCCAGACUCCUACGGGAGGCAGCAGUAGGGAAUCUUCCACAAUGGACGAAAGUCUGAUGGAGCAACGCCGCGUGAGUGAAGAAGGUUUUCGGAUCGUAAAACUCUGUUGUAAGGGAAGAACACGUACGAGAGUAACUGCUCGUACCUUGACGGUACCUUAUUAGAAAGCCACGGCUAACUACGUG
rnacentral:rRNA from 1 species